rnacentral:rRNA from 1 species
GACGAACGCUGGCGGCGUGCUUAACACAUGCAAGUCGAACGGAAAGGCCCUGCUUUUGUGGGGUGCUCGAGUGGCGAACGGGUGAGUAACACGUGAGUAACCUGCCCUUGACUUUGGGAUAACUUCAGGAAACUGGGGCUAAUACCGGAUAGGAGCUCCUGCUGCAUGGUGGGGGUUGGAAAGUUUCGGCGGUUGGGGAUGGACUGGCGGCUUAUCAGCUUGUUGGUGGGGUAGUGGCUUACCAAGGCUUUGACGGGUAGCCGGCCUGGGAGGGUGACCGGCCACAUUGGGACUGAGAUACGGCCCAGACUCCUACGGGAGGCAGCAGUGGGGAAUAUUGCACAAUGGGCGGAAGCCUGAUGCAGCAACGCCGCGUGCGGGAUGACGGCCUUCGGGUUGUAAACCGCUUUCGCCUGUGACGAAGCGUGAGUGACGGUAAUGGGUAAAGAAGCACCGGCUAACUACGUG